GAUGAACGCUGGCGGUGUGCCUAAUACAUGCAAGUCGAGCGAACAGACGAGAAGCUUGCUCCCUUGACGUUAGCGGCUGACGGGUGAGUAACACGUGGAUCACCUACCUAUUUUACUUGGAUAACUUCGGGAAACCGGUGAUGAUACCGCCUAAUAUAUUCAACCGCAGGGUUCAAUAGUUCUUCACGCUUUUGCUGUCACUUAUAGCUGUAUCCGCGUCGCAUUAGCUAGUUGGUAAGGUAACGGCUUACCAAGGCGACGAUGCGUAGCCGACCUGAGAGGGUGAUCAGCCACACUGGAACUGAGACACGGUCCAGACUCCUACGGGAGGCAGCAGUAGGGAAUAUUCCGCAAUGGGCGAAAGCCUGACGGAGCAACACCGCGUGAGUGAUGAAGGUCUUCGGAUCGUAAAGCUCUGUUAUUGGGGAAGAAAAAAUGUGUAAGUAACUAUGCACGUCUUGACGGUACCUAAGCAGAAAGCAACGGCUAACUACGUG
rnacentral:rRNA from 1 species